rnacentral:rRNA from 1 species
CGUAGGGUGCAAGCGUUAAUCGGAAUUACUGGGCGUAAAGCGUGCGCAGGCGGUUUGGUAAGACAGAUGUGAAAUCCCCGGGCUCAACCUGGGAAUUGCAUUUGUGACUGCCCGGCUAGAGUGUGUCAGAGGGGGUAGAAUUCCACGUGUAGCAGUGAAAUGCGUAGAUAUGUGGAGGAAUACCGAUGGCGAAGGCAGCCCCCUGGGAUAACACUGACGCUCAUGCACGAAAGCGUGGGAGCAAACAGGAUU